UGAACCAGUCAGGGUGUCCUGCCCCAGCUCCUCCAGAACUCAACAUUCUAUCCCCGAGGGCUGUGAGGGCCGUGUGCGGGAUGCAGUACCUGACACCCGGGCACCUUUUGGGUGCAAUCUCUCUUCCUUUAGCUUCAGAUGGCUCCCCAGUAGAGGAGGAAGGGUAAAGUAUGAGAAGACUGGGGCAGGAGAUGAAGCAUCAGGUAACUCGGCUGGUGGUGGAGGACGGCUUGCUUGCUUCCUUCACUGGCCAGCGCUGGGUGAGGCAGAGCCAGUCAGUGGUCCCUGAAGCAUGCACCCGGGCCACUGCCAAUCUCAUGGAGAAGAGACCUGCAGAAAGAAGGCUGAGGCACUCAGGCGUGCAUGGUAGCCUUCACAGCAGGGACACCGGUUCUCAGGGCAGGCCGGCAGCCCAACAGAAACAAGCCAGGUGCUUCCAGAAGCCACUCACUCAGCUUUGGUAGGAAGAAAACUUGGACAAUCUUCCUUCCUGGAGCUUUAGAGAAGGCCGUGCUUGUUGAUGGGUGUGGCCGGGAGACGGAAAAAACAAACCGAAGAGGAACCCAAUCAUCCCGCACAACUCCCCAUGCACAAAGUGGGCCUGCGGCAGGUGCGUGGGCUCAUACCUGGGCAUGCUCCCUGUGCCCAUCAUCACUCAGGCAGCUCGUCCCAGGGACACAAGGUGUGUCAUCACAGAGACUGCCACCACAAAGCCGUCCAACUGGGGUCCACACUGUCAGCCCAGGUGCGGUGGUUCUGCCCUGGUGAGACACACUGCUGGCAAGAGUCAAUCAUCCUCUUUCCCAGGCCACUGAGCCAAGCCACAGCCAGAUGAUGCACAACCCAGUGCCACAGCUGCACUUGAAAUCUUCCUCAGUGUAAAUGCUGCUUUUAGAAAAAGCUGCUUUUAAGUGUACCUCUGGUAAAUAUUUGAGAUUUAUUUCUUGGUGGGCAUAAAAAAUAGAGGAAAACAAGAGUGUAAGAUACAGGGAUGGAAAUUUUAGGAGGAUCUUAGAUGGUACCUGUGAAAGACUCUCCCGACCCCCGCUGUUGUUCCCACCAAGUCACUGCUCUGGCAGUGAAUGGGCACACUGUCCCGCCCUCAUCAGUGGCCUUCUGAUGGCCACAAGGAUGGUAUUUACCCUGGACCUCCUGUCUACACACCCAGCACCGUCUUGUCUCCAGUGGUGUGACCUAUGGGAAUGGACAUAGUUGUAGCACACUGUUAGACAGUGUGAUCUAGCCAAGAGGCAGGUGUCUGCUGUUCAUCUGUUCUGACAGCAGUGAUGCCACGCUCCCCACUUUCUGAAGACCCGAUCCCAGACCAUGAGAAGCCGGGCCAUUUGGCCAUGCCCUGUCCACCCCAGGUUCCUCUGCUCCAUCCACACUGAUGUUCCUGAUGAUUCUGCGUAUGCCGUUCUCACCAGGGCCUUAGCUGCUCUGCCUUCUUUCCUCACCAUCCAUACAACCACCUUCUAAUCAAACCACAGCCCAGAGGCCAAUUCCUUUGUGAAGUCUGCAAGGGCCCCAUAAGCCACUCUGACCCACUGAGUUAUCAGACCGCUGGGGAUAGAAAUGGUGUCUUUACAUACCUGAAUCCCCACUGCCUAGCCCCGUGUCUGGCACAAGGCAGGGACCCAGCCCAUGCUUACUGAAUCGAAGUAGUCCAGACAGAUAGACUUUCACCAGCAAACAGCAAGGGCUGAACUUGACUUUCCUGAAAAAGGUCUCUACUGUGUCCACACAGCCAGGACUCCUGCCAGCAUCAGUAAGGAGCUGGCACAGCACCAGGAGCACCCACAACACAGCACACGGCCGAGAGGUCUCGACUAGGAAGCAGCAUGCUAUCUUCAAAGUCCGUUGGGCUACUGCCAGAGACACACAGGCCUGGCCACACACUGCCACACUGUACAUCCUCUGGCUAAUCAAUUCACAGUGCAGAAAUAACAAUGGGCCCCACAGUGCCUUCAUUAACCUCCUAGAUCGCAUGGGAAAACACAGGCUGAUGAGCACCUCAGGGAACCGAGCAAAACAUCCCCUGCUGCAAAGCCAGCCCGGCCCUUGGGUCGUUUUUCUUUUCUCUUUUCGAGAAAUGUAUACAAUUUCUAUGUGCUUUAGGUAAACAUUUAAAAACAUUAAUUAGUCCCAGAGACACUUUGUAUACUAUAGAUUUAGUGUAAUCUGAGUAAAGUAUGGUGGUUAGAAAUGAGUCUCUGAUUAUCAUGUUUCCUGAACAGAAAUGAGAACAGCUGGCCCUGUACUAAGAUAAAUAUAUGAAACUGGAACACAUCAGAAAGUAUGUCCUGUAUGCCUUAUUUUUCCAACAGUUAGCAAAGUAUUGAUUUUUAA